CCUACGGGAGGCAGCAGUGAGGAAUAGUGGUCAAUGGACGAGAGUCUGAACCAGCCAAGUAGCGUGAAGGAUGACUGCCCUAUGGGUUGUAAACUUCUUUUAUAUGGGAAUAAAAUGUUCCACGGGUGGGAUUUUGUAUGGACCAUAUGAAUAAGGAUCGGCUAACUCCGUGCCAGCAGCCGCGGUAAUACGGAGGAGCCGAGCGUUAUCCGGAUUUAUUGGGUUUAAAGGGAGCGUAGGUGGAUUGUUAAGUCAGUUGUGAAAGUUUGCGGCUCAACCGUAAAAUUUCAGUUGAAACUGGCAGUCUUGCGUACAGUCGAGGUGGGCGGAUUUCGUGGUGUAGCGG
rnacentral:rRNA from 1 species